rnacentral:rRNA from 1 species
UACGUAGGUGGCAAGCGUUGUCCGGAAUAUUGGGCGUAAAGCGCGCGCAGGCGGCCUCUUAAGUCUGAUGUGAAAGCCCCCGGCUCAACCGGGGAGGGCCAUUGGAAACUGGGAGGCUUGAGUAUAGGAGAGAAGAGUGGAAUUCCACGUGUAGCGGUGAAAUGCGUAGAGAUGUGGAGGAACACCAGUGGCGAAGGCGACUCUUUGGCCUAUAACUGACGCUGAGGCGCGAAAGCGUGGGGAGCAAACAGG